AGCGAACGCUGGCGGCAGGCCUAACACAUGCAAGUCGGACGAAGUCUUCGGACUUAGUGGCGGACGGGUGAGUAACACGUGGGAACGUGCCUUUAGGUUCGGAAUAACUCAGGGAAACUUGUGCUAAUACCGAAUGUGCCCUUCGGGGGAAAGAUUUAUCGCCUUUAGAGCGGCCCGCGUCUGAUUAGCUACUUGGUGAGGUAAAGGCUCACCAAGGCGACGAUCAGUAGCUGAUCUGAGAGGAUGAUAAGCCACAUUGGGACUGAGACACGGCCCAAACUCCUACGGGAGGCAGAAGUGGGGAAUCUUGCGCAAUGGGCGAAAGCCUGACGCAGCCAUGCCGCGUGAAUGAUGAAGGUCUUAGGAUUGUAAAAUUCUUUCACCGGGGACGAUAAUGACGGUACCCAGAGAAGAAGCCCCGGCUAACUUCGUGCCAGCAGCCGCGGUAAUAC
rnacentral:rRNA from 1 species